rnacentral:rRNA from 1 species
GUUGGGCACUAGGUGUGGGGCUCAUUCCACGAGUUCCGUGCCGCAGCAAACGCAUUAAGUGCCCCGCCUGGGGAGUACGGCCGCAAGGCUAAAACUCAAAGAAAUUGACGGGGGCCCGCACAAGCGGCGGAGCAUGCGGAUUAAUUCGAUGCAACGCGAAGAACCUUACCAAGGCUUGACAUACACCGGAAACUUCCAGAGAUGGUUGCCCCGCAAGGUCGGUGUACAGGUGGUGCAUGGCUGUCGUCAG